GAUCAUAGGCUCAGGAUGAACGCUAGCUACAGGCUUAACACAUGCAAGUCGAGGGGCAGCAUGGUCUUAGCUUGCUAAGGCCGAUGGCGACCGGCGCACGGGUGAGUAACGCGUAUCCAACCUGCCUUACACUCUUGGACAGCCUUCUGAAAGGGAGAUUAAUACAAGAUGUUAUCAUGAGUAAGCAUUUUCGCAUGAUUAAAGGUUUACCGGUGUAAGAUGGGGAUGCGUU
rnacentral:rRNA from 1 species